rnacentral:rRNA from 1 species
UGGGGAAUCUUGGACAAUGGGGGCAACCCUGAUCCAGCCAUGCCGCGUGAGUGAUGAAGGCCUUAGGGUCGUAAAGCUCUUUCGCCUGUGAAGAUAAUGACGGUAGCAGGUAAAGAAACCCCGGCUAACUCCGUGCCAGCAGCCGCGGUAAUACGGAGGGGGUUAGCGUUGUUCGGAAUUACUGGGCGUAAAGCGCACGUAGGCGGACCAGAAAGUUGGGGGUGAAAUCCCGGGGGCUCAACCCCGGAACUGCCUCCAAAACUAUUGGUCUAGAGUUCGAGAGAGGUGAGUGGAAUUCCAAGUGUAGAGGUGAAAUUCGUAGAUAUUUGGAGGAACACCAGUGGCGAAGGCGGCUCACUGGCUCGAUACUGACGCUGAGGUGCGAAAGUGUGGGGAGCAAACAGGAUUAGAUACCCUGGUAGUCCACACCGUAAAACGAUGAAUGCCAGUCGUCGGGUAGCAUGCUAUUCGGUGACACACUUAACGGAUUAAGCAUUCCGCCUGGGGAGUACGGUCGCAAGAUUAAAACUCAAAUGAAUUG